UACGGGGGGGGCAAGCGUUGUUCGGAAUUACUGGGCGUAAAGGGCUCGUAGGCGGCCAACUAAGUCGGACGUGAAAUCCCCAGGCUCAACCUGGGAACUGCGUCCGAUACUGGAUGGCUUGAAUUCGGGAGAGGGAUGCAGAAUUCCAGGUGUAGCGGUGAAAUGCGUAGAUAUCUGGAGGAACACCGAUUGCGAAGGCAGCUAGCUAGACCGACAUUGACGCUGAGGCACGAAAGCGUGGGGAGCAAACAGG
rnacentral:rRNA from 1 species